ensembl:lncRNA
CUCAUAGCAGCCCGACACAGAGUAGCCUGCUAAUAAGACCAAGGAAAAAGGACGUCCAAGAGGGACGUCAAACUUUUCCGUAACAUUUUCUUCAAUCAACAAAGCUUUCACCAUUAUCCAGAAAUACUUUGCGGGAACAAGAGGCCUUGGCGCCUUCAGUCCAGGCGAUCAUCUGGCGGUGCAGGUCGACAUGGCGACGUGCCCGAGCCUCCCUGCUGAAUUCUGGUGUCCGGGUCAAGCGGUUGGCCGACCGAUGGAGACUCAGGUCGCCCCGCUACAGGAGGAGGCAAAGACUUUGGCUCUCGACGAAGGACCUUCCCCCAUAAGUGGAUUCCCAUAAGCUGGCCUCUCACUUCAUUGGGCUCUAUGUCAUUGAGCAGUUCUUCUGCCCAUCUGCAGUCCGUUUGCAGCUGCUCCUCACUAUGGCGGGUCCCACCUUCCACGUUUCUUGGAUCAAGCUGAUCUGUCGCAGUCCUCUCUCCUCCGGCCGCAUGCCCCCUUCCCCCCGUCUCAUUGAUGGGACCCCUGCCUUCAAUGUGCAUAAGGUGCUGGAUGGGCAUAAGCUGCUGGAUGUGUAUAAGCUGCUGGAUGUCCAUCGACGUGGGCUUGGCCUUGGUCAACAGGGAGGGGUAUGGGCCAGAGGAAGGGACAUGGGGUCCUCAUCACCCUGCUUUGACACCUGGAGGCGUUUGUUCAGGGGAGGGAGGGGGUAUUGUCAGCUCCUCUAUUCGGACUCAGUGACUCUCUGGCCUCCUGCUGGUUAUUCUGUGUUUUUGUCCAACAUGCGUCCUACUUUUGUUGUGCCUCUGACUCCGCCUCUCACCUGUACAUCCUGCCAUUGUCUUUUUCUUGCCUUUUUUUUUUGUUCCUCAUUGUUUGUUAAAUACUCUGCCUAUUUAUAUCCAGUGCUGUUAGUGCCACCUUGUAAGAUUGUUCUUAGGUCUUAGCUUACCUAGUCAGUUCACACUGCCCUGUAUUCUGUCUGCCUGUUUGGUUCCUGCCUGUUUUGGGGUUUCGCCUGUGGUUCUGCCCCUGCCCCUGUACUACUCUUUGGAGAUUAAUCUGGCUAUUCCUUUUUGUUUGUAUUUUCUCCCUGUUUUAGUUAACAGCCCUUUAUUUCUGUUUUUGGAUUCUUUCUGUGGGACAAGCAAAUUUUGUUAUUGAUAGAGCUGAAUCCUUGCUCUGCC